rnacentral:lncRNA from 1 species
AAAUAUGAUCUGACAUAUCUCGAAAAUCUCCUCUCUCCUCUCUCUGCUCCCUCCUCUUCUCCCUUUUCCUUCGGUUUCUUUUAUGGCAGUUUCUCCUAGGGUCAGGGUUUCAGAUCCGUCAUGGGAAAUUCCGGUCCCAAAAUACAAACGGGCUCUAGUCGAAUUACGCCAGCGAAAAAACAACGCCUUCCACCUCUCUAUUCUAAAGCCAACCAAACGGUAUUCAUUCAGCUCAUUGUUACUUUUUUUUUAUUAUUAUGUUUCUGUUUUAUUUUAAGGAACAGAUUGAUUGGUUAUCUGGCAAGGCAAUGAGGUAUUCUAUGUAAAAAGCUUUGCAAAAAGGGUUAAUGGUGCAUCUAGUGCCCCUGUUCUCUGAUUUUUCUUGUUUUGGCCCCUUUAGAUAAUUGUUUUGCACAGAAUGCUUUUUACUGCAGCCAUGACUUCUCAUGUUCUUUACUUAUGAUCGUAUGGUAAGAAAGAAAUACUAGCCUCACCGUGUUCCUUUUAUUGAAAUGCGUUGGAAAUUAAGAAUAUGAUAUGGUCACGAUUUCUUCAGUGUUAUUGUUUUUCUAUGAUCUUCAUCCUUGUAUUCCUAUAAAAAGAAAGGUAAUGCACUGAGGCUAAGAUGAUAUUUUUUAUGGAAAUUUCAUACAUAUUGUUUUAAGGAACAAAGUGAUUGGUUAUUUGGCAAGGCAAUGCGGUGUUCUGUGCAAAAAGAAUUAAUGGCAUUAUAUAGUCCUUCUGUUUUCUGAUUUUUCCUGUUCUGGUCCCUUUAAAUAAUUGUUUUGCACAGAAUGCCUUUUACUGCAGCCAUGACUUCUCAUGUUUUUUACUUAUGAUCAUAUGGUCAAAGGGGAAUCCUAGCCUCACCGUGUUCCUUUUAUUGAAAUGCGUUGGAAAUUAAGAAUAUGGUCACUAUUUCUUUAAUGUUAUUGUUUUUUCAUGAUCUUCAUCCUUGUUUUCCUAUAAAAAGAAAGGUAAUGCACUGAGGUUAAGAUGAUUUUUUUUACGGAAAGUUCAUACAUAUUGUUUUAAGGAACAAAUUGAUUGGUUAUUUGGCAAGGCAAUGAGGUGUUCUGUGCAAAAAGAAUUGAUGGCGUAUUAAGUCCCUCUGUUUUCUGAUUUUUCCUGUUCUGGUCCCUUUAAAUAAUUGUUUUGCACAGAAUGCCUUUUACUGCAGCCAUGACUUCUCAUGUUCUUUACUUAUGAUCAUAUGGUCAAAGGGGAAUCCUAGCCUCACCGUGUUCCUUUUAUUGAAAGGCGUUGGAAAUUAAGAAUAUGGUCACUAUUUCUUUAGUGUUAUUGUUUUUUCAUGAUCUUCAUCCUUGUUUUCCUAUAAAAAGAAAGGUAAUGCACUGAGGCUAAGAUGAUAUUUUUUACGGAAAGUUUCAUACAUGUUGUUUUAAGGAACAAAUUGAUUGGUUAUUUGGCAAGGCAAUGAGGUGUUCUGUGCAAAAAGAAUUGAUGGUGUAUAAAGUCCCUCUGUGUUCUGAUUUUUCCUGUUCUGGUCCCUUUAAAUAAUUGUUUUGCACAGAAUGCCUUUUACUGAAGCCAUGACUACUCAUGUUCUUUACUUAUGAUCAUAUGGUCAAAAGGGAAUCCUAGCCUCACCGUGUUCCUUUUAUUGAAAUGCGUUGGAAAUUAUGAAUAUGGUCACUAUUUCUUUAGUGUUCUUGUUUUUUCAUGAUCUUCAUCCUUCUUUUCCUAUAAAAAGAAAGGUAAUGCACUGAGGUUAAGAUGAUUUUUUUACGGAAAGUUUCAUACAUAUUGUUUUAAGGGACAAAUUGAUUGGUUAUUUGGCAAGGCAAUGAGGUGUUCUGUGCAAAAAGAAUUGAUGGCAUAUAAAGUCCCUCUGUUUUCUGAUUUUUCCUGUUCUGGUCCCUUUAAAUAAUUGUUUUGCACAGAAUGCCUUUUACUGCAGCCAUGACUUCUCAUGUUCUUUACUUAUGAUCAUAUGGUCAAAGGGGAAUCCUAGCCUCACCGUGUUCCUUUUAUUGAAACGCGUUGGAAAUUAAGAAUAUGGUCACUAUUUCUUUAAUGUUAUUGUUUUUUCAUGAUCUUCAUCCUUGUUUUCCUAUAAAAAGAAAGGUAAUGCACUGAGGCUAAGAUGAUUUUUUUACGGAAAGUUUCAUACAUGUUGUUUUAAGGAACAAAUUGAUUGGUUAUUUGGCAAGGCAAUGAGGUGUUCUGUGCAAAAAGAAUUGAUGGUGUAUAAAGUCCCUCUGUGUUCUGAUUUUUCCUGUUCUGGUCCCUUUAAAUAAUUGUUUUGCACAGAAUGCCUUUUACUGAAGCCAUGACUACUCAUGUUUUUUACUUAUGAUCAUAUGGUCAAAAGGGAAUCCUAGCCUCACCGUGUUCCUUUUAUUGAAAUGCGUUGGAAAUUAUGAAUAUGGUCACUAUUUCUUUAGUGUUCUUGUUUUUUCAUGAUCUUCAUCCUUCUUUUCCUAUAAAAAGAAAGGUAAUGCACUGAGGUUAAGAUGAUUUGUUUUACGGAAAGUUUCAUACAUAUUGUUUUAAGGGACAAAUUGAUUGGUUAUUUGGCAAGGCAAUGAGGUGUUCUGUGCAAAAAGAAUUGAUGGCAUAUAAAGUCCCUCUGUUUUCUGAUUUUUCCUGUUCUGGUCCCUUUAAAUAAUUGUUUUGCACAGAAUGCCUUUUACUGCAGCCAUGACUUCUCUUCUUUACUUAUGAUCAUAUGGUCAAGGGGAUCCUAGCCUCACCGUGUUCCUUUUAUUGAAACGCGUUGGAAAUUAAGAAUAUGGUCACUAUUUCUUUAAUGUUAUUGUUUUUUCAUGAUCUUCAUCCUUGUUUUCCUAUAAAAAGAAAGGUAAUGCACUGAGGCUAAGAUGAUAUUUUUUACGGAAAGUUUCAUACAUGUUGUUUUAAGGAACAAAUUGAUUGGUUAUUUGGCAAGGCAAUGAGGUGUUCUGUGCAAAAAGAAUUGAUGGUGUAUAAAGUCCCUCUGUGUUCUGAUUUUUCCUGUUCUUGUCCCUUUAAAUAAUUGUUUUGCACAGAAUGCCUUUUAUUGCAGCCAUGAUUUCUCAUAUUUUUUACUUAUGAUCAUAUGGUCAAAAGGGAAUCCUAGCCUCACCGUGUUCCUUUUAUUGAAAUGCGUUGGAAAUUAAGAAUAUGGUCACAAUUUCUUUAGUGUUAUUGUUUUUUCAUGAUCUUCAUCCUUGGUUUCCUAUAAAAAGAAAGGUAAUGCACUGAGGCUAUGAUGAUAUUUUUUACGGAAAGUUCAUACAUAUUGUUUUAAGGAACAAAUUGAUUGGUUAUUUGGCAAGGCAAUGAGGUGUUCUGUGCAAAAAGAAUUGAUGGCGUAUUAGUCCCUCUGUUUUCUGAUUUUUCCUGUUCUGGUCCCUUUAGAUAAUUGUUUUGCACAGAAUGCCUUUUACUGCAGCCAUGACUUCUCAUGUUCUUUACUUGUGAUCAUAUGGUCAAAGGGGAAUCCUAGCCUCACCGUGUUCCUUUUAUUGAAAUGCGUUGGAAAUUAAGAAUAUGAUAUGGUCACGAUUUCUUCAGUGUUAUUGUUUUUCUAUGAUCUUCAUCCUUGUAUUCCUAUAAAAAGAAAGGUAAUGCACUGAGGCUUAGAUGAUAUUUUUUAUGGAAAAUUUCAUACAUAUUGUUUUAAGGAACAAAUUGAUUGGUUAUUUGGCAAGGCAAUGAGGUGUUCUGUGCAAAAAGAAUUGAUGGCAUAUAUAGUCCCUCUGUUUUCUGAUUUUUCCUGUUUUGGUCCCUUUAAAUAAUUGUUUUGCACAGAAUGCCUUUUACUGCAGCCAUGACUUCUCAUGUUUUUUACUUAUGAUCAUAUGGUCAAAGGGGAAUCCUAGCCCCACCGUGUUCCUAUUAUUGAAAUGCGUUGGAAAUUAAGAAUAUGGUCACUAUUUAUUUAGUGUUAUUGUUUUUUCAUGAUCUUCAUCCUUGUUUUCCUAUAAAAAGAAAUGUAAUGCACUAAGGCUAAGAUGAUAUUUUUUACAGAAAAUUUCAUACAUAUUGUUUUAAGGAACAAACUGAUUGGUUAUUUGGCAAGACAAUGAGGUGUCAUGUGAGAUUUAAUGGUGCAUCUAGUCCCAUUGUUCUCAGAUUUUUCUUGUUCUGGUCCUUUUAGAUGAUUUUUUUAUACAAAAUGCUUUUUUUGGCAGCCACAACCUCUUAUGCUCCUUGCUUAUGAUUGUAUGAUAAAACACAAAUCUUAGCCUCUCUAUGUUCCUUCGGUUGAAUUGCGCUGGAAAUUGAAAAUAGGGUCAAGUUUUGUUUACUAAUAUCGUUUGGUCAUGAUCUUUCUUUCUUUCCCUAUAAAACAGAAGGUAAUGCAAUGAGGCUACAAAGAUAUUUUUAAUGGAAAAUUCCAUGCAUGUGAUUAUAAGGAACAAAUUGAAUUGUUAUUUGGCCUCAAUGAGGUGUUUUGUUCAAAAAAGGUUAAUGGUGUAUCUAGUCCCUUUGCUCUCUGAUUUGUCUUGUUCUGGUCCCUCUAGAUAGUUGUUUUGUACAUAAUUCCUUUAUCGCAUCCAUUACCUCUCCGGUCCCUCCAGUUUUAAGGAACUCCUCAAUGUUCUAAAAGGAAAAAUCUCUUGGUGAACAAGUUUGAGACAACUGGCUUUGCCACACACCAAAUGAUGUCGUUAGACUUGGUGCUAUAUCCUACAUUGAUUUCUGAAGUUGGUUCAAUAGUUAUGGUAUACCUUCAUGUGAAUGAAAGUCAUGCUAUAUAAUCUGCUUUUAUAUUAUGAAUUGAAUUUUGAAUUCUUUUCAGUUAUUAUCCUCAAGGUAAGUUCUAGUUAAUUGGGUGGUGUGAAUUAGCUAAUAAUUUGGAAGAUUUGCCUGCAUUUCUUGCUUCUUAUAUCUGUCAGAUGACCUUCUUAAUUGGAGAAUAAACUACAACAAAUAUACAAGUUUCAAGAGAAAAAUAGAUGAUCUUGUGCAUGAUCUCAAAGUAUUUGGAAUGGCCAAUUACCUCUAGAUAAUUGAGUUUACGUUGUUUUUUUUUUUUUAAUAGAAGAGAUAAUGCAGAUAAUGCAGGAUAACACUACCCAAGAAAGCAUAUCCAACACUGAUACUCACAAUGUGAUUGGAAAAUCUGG